GACGAACGCUGGCGGCGUGCUUAACACAUGCAAGUCGAACGGAAAGGCCCUGCUUUUGUGGGGUGCUCGAUUGGCGAACGGGUGAGUAACACGUGAGUAACCUGCCCUUGUCUUUGGGAUAACUUCAGGAAACUGGGGCUAAUACCGGAUAGGAUCUCCUGCUGCAUGGGGGGGGUUGGUAAGUUUCGGCGGUUGGGGAUGGUCUCGCGGCUUAUCAGCUUGUUGGUGGGGUAGGGGCUGACCAAGGCUUUGACGGGUAGCCGGCCUGGGAGGGUGACCGGCCACAUUGGGACUGCGAUACGGACCAGACUCUUACGGGAGGCAGCAGUGGGGAAUAUUGCACAAUGGGCGGAAGCCUGAUGCAGCAACGCCGCGUGCGGGAUGACGGCCUUCGAGUUGUAAACCGCUUUCGCCUGUGCCGAAGCGUGAGUGACGGUAAUGGGUAAAGAAGCACCGGCUAACUACGUG
rnacentral:rRNA from 1 species